GAUGAACGCUGGCGGCGUGCCUAAUACAUGCAAGUCGAGCGAACAGACGAGGAGCUUGCUCCUCUGACGUUAGCGGCGGACGGGUGAGUAACACGUGGAUAACCUACCUAUAAGACUGGGAUAACUUCGUGAAACCGGAGCCAAUACCGGAUAAUAUAUUGAACCGCAUGGUUCAAUAGUGAAAGACGGUUUUCCUGUCACUUAUAGAUGGAUCCGCGCCGCAUUAGCUAGUUGGUAAGGGAACGGCUUACCAAGGCAACGAUGCGUAGCCGACCUGAGAGGGUGAUCGGCCACACUGGAACUGAGACACGGUCCAGACUCCUACGGGAGGCAGCAGUAGGGAAUCUUGCGCAAUGGGCGCAAGCUUGACGGAGCCACGCCGCGUGAGUGAUGAAGGUCUUCGGAUCGUAAAGCUCUGUUAUUAGGGAAGAAAAAAUGUGUAAUAAUCUACGGCCGUCUUGACGGUACCUAAUCAGAAAGCCCCGGCUAACUACGUG
rnacentral:rRNA from 1 species